UUUUCCUUUUCCUUUUCUUUUUCUUCUCUGGUUGACCACCACUGCCCCAUCCUUUUCUCCAUAUUUCUACUUUCUUGUAAUCAAACUAUUUCUGUUAACCAAGUUGGAAUUCUAGGUAUUUUUUGGUUCUUGUCCUAGAAUUAUUUCAUAUGUAUUUUUGUUUUGUUUUUCUAGGGUUGUGGAAACAAAUGGGAAAAACAUUAAUAAGACUAACGCUACAUGAUCAAAACACUCUAUCACGAAGCAGAGGAUGCGGAGUAAGAUUAAUGAAAGAUUUCAAAUAUUGAGAGAUUUAAUACCAAACGCUGAUCAAAAGAGAGAUACAUAUGGCUUCAUUCCUACUAGAGGUGAUAGAGUAUGUCCAAUAUUUACAAGAGAGGGUUCAAAAAUGUAAGGGUUCAUACCAGGGACGGAGUUCCCAGCCCAUAAAAUUAAAGCCAUGGUUAUGUUUAUAUAAUGAUUGUUUUCUAUUUUAAGGUUUAAAUAAUAUGUUUUUUUUGGCGUAAGCAGUUAAUUUGCGAUUUA